rnacentral:rRNA from 1 species
CACGUAGGGGACGAGCGUUGUCCGGAUUCAUUGGGCGUAAAGCGCGCGUAGGCGACUCGGAAAGUCGGGCGUGAAAUGCCGGGGCUCAACCCCGGGCCUGCAGUGGGUACGGGCAGACUAGAGUGCGGUAGGGGAGACUGGAAUUCCUGGUGUAGCGGUGAAAUGCGCAGAUAUCAGGAGGAACACCAGUGGCGAAGGCGGGUCUCUGGGCCGUAACUGACGCUGAGGAGCGAAAGCGUGGGGAGCGAACAGG